GGGCGUCCUGUCCCGUCCCUACGCGGCGACUGCGGCCCCGGCCCCGGAGUCCUCUCUGGGCAGCUCCGCGCCCGCAGCCCGGCGUCUUCCCAGAUUUUAAAGAGUUUGUUGGAGCAACAGCGAUUCCGAGAGAGAAACACCCGGUCAUGGCUUGUGAUUGAAGAAAAGGCUUUUAUAAGUUGCAUAAGGAGGCAAACAGGAUUAAAUACUUGAUUAGUUACAGUGAUGCUGUCGCCGUAUGUGGACUUGUCAACCUGAAAUAAAAGAAUCAGAUUCCA